AGCAGCCGCGGUAAUUCCAGCUCCAAUAGCGUAUAUUAAAGUUGUUGCAGUUAAAAAGCUCGUAGUUGAAUUUCGGGAUCAAAUUGUCGGUCGUGCCUCGGUACGUACUGGCGUUAUUGGUUCCUACCUUCUGAAGAACCACGAUGUCAUUAAUUUGGUGUCGCGGGGAAUCAGGACUGUUACUUUGAAAAAAUUAGAGUGUUUAAAGCAGGCUCGCGCUUGAAUACAUUAGCAUGGAAUAAUGAAAUAGGACGUUUGAUUCUAUUUUGUUGGUUUCUAGGAUCGACGUAAUGAAUUAAUAGGGAUAGUUGGGGGCUAUUAGUAUUCAAUUGUCAGAGGUGAAAUUCUUGGAUUUAUGAAGACUAACUCUGACGAAAGCAUUUGCCAAGAUGUUUUCAUUAAU
rnacentral:rRNA from 1 species